GUGGGUAGAGCUCAGUGGUAGAGUGCCUACUUAGCAUGCAUGAGGUGCUGGGUUCAAUCCUCAGUACCUCCA
rnacentral:tRNA from 1 species